rnacentral:lncRNA from 1 species
CACAGCCUGGGGUCCUUCCUUUUGGUCAACUAUCGCCGGUGGCUGCGACUGAUCUCAAGCAUGGCGCAUGCGCUGCUCUUCCUCCGCAUGUCGCCACGAUCUUCUGCAGCUGUCGUGAUCCGCCCCAGGCGCCUGCUGCUGGCGACCUGUGCGCCUCGCCACCUAUGCUGCCGCUGCUGGCCGCUCCCACGGCGGCUUCCCCCCACCACUGCGCCCCGGCUAGGGAGGUUUUCGAUCUGAAUCUGGAGCAUGUCGCCCUGUCGGUGGUGGAAGAGGUGCUGGAGGCCUCGGAUCCACCGGGGCGCGAGCCAGCGCACCCGGCCCUGCUGCCAUCUAGCCAGCAAGGGGCUAGCCUUUCACCUUGACGCAGCCUGCGCAUCAGGCGGGCAUAUGACGGCGUUCGGAUGGGCUCCGUUGAGCGAGCUUCCAAGCGGAAGGCGGCGGCGACUGGUUUUGGUUCUGGCUCAGGUGGUAGCGCCUCUCACCGUUCCAGCGCUUCGGCUGCUCAUCGCAAGAAGGCCAAGGCAGUGGCUGGGCUCCUCGAGCCUCCACUGGCGGCGACCCCGUCGCCGUUGACUAGGGGAAAACUCAAGCUGCUUGCUGAGUAAUGCAACCUCAAUGCAACUGCCAUCUUCGACAAAGUCCAAGCCCGCGCCGUAUCUUCUGAAGCGGUGGCCUCUUCUGCUACUUACAGCUCCUCUGCAUCUUCAGUGCGUGUCCUCGAUUUCCCACAUGUCUAGUCUUUUUGUUGAUGCCAUGUUCUAUCCUAGGUUCAGCAUGGUUAGGUGUUUAUCUAUCUUCAGUAUGUUGUUGUUAGGCGCUGCUAGCCGGCCUGUUUCUGUUCUGCAGCCAUGCUGCCUCGUUCUUUUGGGGUGUCGGUUUUAGCGUCCUCGAGUCUGUAUCGUGUCGUCAGUGUCUAUUUUGCACUUGUUACCCGGACUCGAAAGCGCCCUCGAUGCUUAUCUUGUUUUGUUUUCUGUUGAUCAUGCAUGGAGGCUUCUGUUCUUCUUGCUUGGGUUGUGUACUCCCCUUUCCCUCAUGAAGAUUCUGAACUGGAACGUGUGUGGCCUUGGUGAUGAUGAUAAGUGCUCUUUGGUGCGUGAUACUUUAACCUCUUCCUGUCCCAGUAUUGUUUGUCUGCAGGAAACUAAGCUUGCAGCACUCUCCUCGUUCAAGUUGAAAUCCUUUCUGCCUGCUUUUUGCAAUGAUCAUGUGUUUACACCAUCUGAAGGAACUGCUGGGGGCAUUUUGGUUGCCUGGGACACGAGAUGCUUCACUGGGCAAGUUGUUGCAACACACCGGUACCACGUGACUGUCAAACUGGCUUCCACACCGUCAGCAAGUUCUUUCUUGCUUACGGUUGUUUAUGCACCAUGUGUCAUCUCUGAACGGAGUCAGUUCUUUGAGGCUGUUGCUAGCGUUGCUGCUGAAUCUGACAACCCUUGGAUCGUCUUGGGUGACUUCAACAUGUACCGCUUCGCGCAUGAAAAAUCACGAGGCCACAUUAACUGGACUCUUAUGGAGACUUUCAAUGCUUGGAUCCGAGAGCUUGGGAUGGAGGAUAUUCAGGUCGAUAAUAGAUUGUACACUUGGUCCAACAAGAGAUCUUCCCCCAUGAUGGUUAAGCUGGAUCGGGUGCUGGUAAAUGCUGCCUGGGGGUUAUGCUUUGCACAGACAUCUGCCUCUGUUGUGCCUGCUACCACCUCAGACCACAUCCCCAUCGUUAUUCAGUUUUGCACUCAAGCAGUUAAAUGUUGCUUGUUCAGGAUGGAGAACCACUGGAUGCAUAUGGAGGAGACUAGGCGUAUUAUACAAGAUGGCUGGUCCAUGGGCUGCAGAACCAUUCUUUCGCCAGCAUCUCUCAUCAACUUUAAGAUGAGAAGAGUUUGUGCUGCUUUAUGACAAUGGAGUAGACGCCGGCCUGGUCUUAAGUUACUCAUUGAGAACAAUAAACAUGUUGUGAGCUUCAUAUGUGCUGUUGAGGAGAGAAGGUCCUUGUCACUAUUAGAAGUGGUACUUCGGGAGUUCGCGUCUGCUAAGGCGGAGCAAUUGAUUUUAUGGCAGGCUGCUAUGUGGAAGCGAAGGGCCAAGCUUAGAUGGUGUGUGUCUGGGGAUGAGAAUUGCAAAUUUUUCCAUGUGGCAGCCAAUAGUCAGGCAUGUCGUAACAAAGUAAGAUUUCUUGUUGAUGCUGGGGUGCACCACUACCAGAAUUGUCAAAAGAUUCAGUUAGCAACUGCAUAUUUCGCCAACAUUUUGGGGCAGCCUGCUCCCUCCCAACCCACAGUCCAGCUGUCUGACUUGUACAGCCCCGUGGAUCUGUCUGAGUCGGUUAAUGUCUUUUCCUGGGCUGAGCUGGUUCGAGCCAUAGAUAUGUCACCAAAUAAUAGAAGUCCGGGGCCGGAUGGGUUCACAAAUUGAGUUGUAUAGGGCUUUCAAGCACCUGCUUAAGGAUGAUCUGCUCAAGUUCUUCGGGGAUUUUCAUGCAAAUCAAGUUGCUCUGGAUGGUAUCAACACGGCUUAUAUAACCUUGUUGCCCAAAGUGGACUCGCCGAUGGAGAUGAGGGAUUUCAGGCCUAUAUCUCUGGUGCAUAGCGCCCCUAAACUGGUGUCCAAGGUGUUGACAUGCAGGCUGCAGCGUCGCAUUCCUGGUUUAGUGCAUUCACUGCAGUCCGGGUUUUUGAGAGGAAGAUCCAUUGUGGAGAAUUUUGCUUUGGCGGCGGAAAUGAUCCAGGCAGCGCAUAAAAGGAGGGCACCAGUGGUUGCUUUGAAGUUGGACUUUCGCAAGGCUUUCGAUUCGGUAAGUUGGGAUUGCCUCACCCAGGUUAUGCACGCCAGGUCCCCCCCCCCCUUGUGGGUGCAGUGGAUCCAUGCCCUCCUCUCCACUGGACGAUCGAGAGUGCCGAUCAAUGGGGAACCAGGGGAUCCCAUCUUGGCCAAGCAGGGUUUUCGGCAGGGAGACUCCCUGUCGCCCUACCUCUUCAUUCUAGUAGCUGACGUCUUGCAACGCUUGUGCUGUUGGCAUUUCCAGAAUGGUAACUUGUUGCACCCGCUUGGUUCCCAUGGCUUCUUCCCGGUUUUGCAAUACGCAGACGAUACGUUGAUCAUUUUCCGGGGUGAGGUGGAGCAAGCCAGAGUCAUCAAGAAUAUCCUUGCUGCCUUCUCUGCGUUCUCAAGGCUGACUAUCAACUUUCACAAAAGCACUAUGGUUUCUGUCUGUGUGCAACAGGAAGUGGCUGCAGAGAUUGCCAGCAUCCUGGUUUGCCCGGUCUCCUCCUUUCCCUGCACCUACCUGGGGAUGCCCCUCUCUUUGCACAAGAUCAAGCAUGGUAUGUUGCCUCCGGUUAUCCAUAAAGUUGAUCGUCGUCUCUCUGGUUGGCUGGCCACGUUCCUCUCUUGGGGUGGCAGACUCACUCUCGUUAACUCCGUCCUGUCUGGCAUUCCAAGCUACUUCAUGUCUUGUUUCCAGUGGCCAAAGGAGUCCUUACAGAAGUUGGAUGCCUUGCUUAGGGCAUUCUUUUGGCAGGGCAAGAAUACAGUUAAAGGAGGCCAGUGUCUGCUGGCCUGGGACAUGGUUACACUACCUCGGGCAAAUGGCGGUUUGGGGGUAAGGAACUUGGAAGCCCACAACCAAGCGUUGUUAUGUAAAUUUUUAGCAAAAAUUCUCCAGCCUUCCGAUAUACCCUGCUUCAAGUGGUUUGCCUCCCAAUAUUGCAAGGACUUUUUGCCUUUCAAGAGCCAUCACAAAGAUACUGCCAUUUGGAAGGGCCUCAAGAGCUGCAUCCCGUUGGUUGUCUCCUCCUCGCGCUGCUCUAUUGGCAACGGCGCACACGUCUCCUUCUGGCAUGACCCAUGGUUGUUGCCUAGCAGUCUGAAGCAUGCUUUUCCGGUCCUUUUCUCCUUUGCUCGCAAUCCAAGCUGUCUUGUGCAAUCUCAGUUACGGGAGGCGCCUGGAACGUACAGCUCCACCCAAACCUCACUCAGGCUGCAACUCAAGACUUGCAUCUGCUUCAUCAGCUCAUGGAUCUUGUCAACCUGGAUCUAUCAAGCUCGGAUGCACGGGUACCCACGCUUGGAGGAAACUGUUUAUGCACCAGCUACUACUACAAGUUGCUCACCUUCCGGGGAGUUCUUUGGGCUCCUGCUUCCUGGAUUUGGGGCCAUAUUAUCCCCCUGAAAAGUAGAAUCUUCUUGUGGUUGGCUUUUUGGGGGCGUCUGAACACCAAGGCUAACAUGGUGCGCAAAGGUUGGUCCGCAGCGGCUCCAUCUGCUGGCUGCGAUGCUUGCCCGGCGGUGGAGACAGCUGACCACCUGCUUCUUCGUUGCCGUCCCGCCGAUGCAAUAUGGAGCAGACUGUCACUUACAACGUUGGCUUGUGCGUCACCUAACAUACAGUUGUUUGUUUGCCAGGUCAAGGAUCACCUCCAAUCCCCAGUCAAGUGGCAUGUCGCUUUUGCUGCAUGUGCUGUCACGCUUUGGCAAGCCAGGAAUGAUCGGGUAUUCAAUGAUAAAUGCUGGCCGGAGACGUAUAUCAGAUUUCAUGCAGCUAAUUUGCUUAGCCUGUGGAGCAACAGGGCUACCAAGCAGUCAGACAAGGAUGCUCUGGCUUCGUGGAUUACAAUUCUCAGCAAUUAGGGUUUUCUGGUAGCGCCCUUGUUCCUGUUUCUUCCUCUAUCUCUAUCUCUUUUUCUCCUUUCCUUUUUCCCCUACCUUCUACCUUGGGCUGCUUGUGGCCCUGCACCUGGGUGCACUUCACAAGCCUUGUAACUGUCAUAUGCAAGCUUUUGCCUUCUUUGAAAUAUAAGGUCGGCUGCGCGCCACCUUUUACUUUCAAAAAAAAAA